rnacentral:tRNA from 1 species
ACACCUGUGGUGAAGUGGUUAUCAUGCUUGCCUUCCAUGUGAUAAGGUUCAGACGUGUAGCAAGCGGCACGGGUUCGAUUCCCGUCGGGUGUA